rnacentral:rRNA from 1 species
UUGAUCAUGGCUCAGAUUGAACGCUGGCGGCAGGCCUAACACAUGCAAGUCGAGCGGCAGCACAGAGAAACUUGUUUCUCGGGUGGCGAGCGGCGGACGGGUGAGUAAUGCCUGGGAAAUUGCCCUGAUGUGGGGGAUAACCAUUGGAAACGAUGGCUAAUACCGCAUGAUGCCUACGGGCCAAAGAGGGGGACCUUCGGGCCUCUCGCGUCAGGAUAUGCCCAGGUGGGAUUAGCUAGUUGGUGAGGUAAGGGCUCACCAAGGCGACGAUCCCUAGCUGGUCUGAGAGGAUGAUCAGCCACACUGGAACUGAGACACGGUCCAGACUCCUACGGGAGGCAGCAGUGGGGAAUAUUGCACAAUGGGCGCAAGCCUGAUGCAGCCAUGCCGCGUGUGUGAAGAAGGCCUUCGGGUUGUAAAGCACUUUCAGUUGUGAGGAAGGUGGUGUCGUUAAUAGCGGCAUCAUUUGACGUUAGCAACAGAAGAAGCACCGGCUAACUCCGUGCCAGCAGCCGCGGUAAUACGGAGGGUGCGAGCGUUAAUCGGAAUUACUGGGCGUAAAGCGCAUGCAGGUGGUUUGUUAAGUCAGAUGUGAAAGCCCGGGGCUCAACCUCGGAACUGCAUUUGAAACUGGCAGAC